UAAUUGUGCGCAGUAGAUAAUUGUGUGCCAAUUUCCGUGAUCGAAAGAAUGUUGUUUAUUGCAACAUGUUGUGGAAAGAAACAUCAUAUCCCAGUGUAGCACUGAAGAUUAAAAUAAUCAACUUGAAAGAAAAAUACAUCUUUUGUUAUAAUUGGUAAUCAUGAAAAUGAGACGAUAAAUAAUAACGUUCCUUACUUCCUGUGACAAAGUUUUCGCGUAACAACCCAAGUUUAUAUCAUUUUUAAUGUGCGUUAACAAGACUCACAAUACACGAUCUCGAGCUUGUGCAGAUAUGCCUCGUUAUUAUAAAAGAACAUCAGAUAAGAAUAAUAGGACUGAGGAGAUCUUAAAAUCAACGAUUAUGUUGUGAAAAUCAAUAGGAUGAAAAUUAGAGCUGCUGAGCAAAAAUUCAAUAUUUCGGAAUCAAUUCUUAGAAAGAGAUUGAAAGAAAGAAAUUCGACAUGUCAUGUGCCGAAUGACAAAUGAAUGAAUGAUAUGUCAUUGGGUCGAAAGCCAAUAUUUAUAGUUGAUGAAGAGAAAGAAUUGACAAAUCUUAUUUUGAACUUAGCAUAACUAUUUUAUGGAUUUACUUCACAUCAGCUUCGUAGAAUGCUUUCGACUUUGCUGAGGCAAAACAUGUUAAUCAUACGUUUAACAAAACGAUUCAACCGGCUGACAAAGAUUGGUUAUAUGUGUUUCUUCAGCAUAACUCGGAAAUAACCGUAAGAUAACAAAAGGAAUGAGUCUUAAUAGAAUUAAUAUACUUAAUAAAGAAGAAAUUACUCAAUUUUUUCCAAUUUACAAGACGUUGGAAAAGUAUAGAUUUCCUCCAAAUAGAAUCCUUAACAUGGAUAAAACGAGCAUUACAAUGGUUGGCAAAAAAAUGUCUAAAAAUAUAUGGCGCAAAAGGGACAGAGAGAAUUGGAACAGCAACAAUAGGUGAAAGGAGACCAUUACAGCAGUGUUUUACGUGAAUACAUCUGGAACGUACAUAUCUCCAAUGUUUUUUUGAGUACGAGAAUGAGUAUGUAGCUACAAAAGAAUGGGCCUAUUUGAGUGAUUUAUGCGUGUUCUAAAAAUGAUGACAAAUAAGGGAUUGUACUUGGACUGGUUACAUCAUUUUAAGAGCUGUGUAAACUUUACUUACAGGGCGAAGACUCUGUACUUCUGAUAAUUGAUAAUCAUACAAGUUAUAUUUCACUUGAGGUUUUUGAUUUAUGUAAAUCUGGUUUUAUUACUGUAUUUUCUCUCGCCCUUCACACAUCGAAUUCAAUCUUUAGACUUGACAUUUUUUGACCUGUUGAAGAACUCUUUAUAUAGAAAAUAUGAUUUAUACUUGAAAUCGACUAGUCAUAAAAAAAUGACCGAGUAUGAUCUUGCAGAGGUGUUAAAUAAGGCCUUUUUAAAAGUAGCUUCUAUGGAGAAAAGUAUGUCUGGCUUUCGUACAGCAGAUUUUUACCCUCUAAUUUCUGAUAGAUUUGACGAAAAUGAUUUUGCUCCAUCAGUUGCUGAAGAAGAACUUAACUUCUUACUGAAGUUAUUUUCGAUUAAUCAAAAUUCAAUUUCCAUUGAAACUAUCAGUAAUAUAGAUAAUUUGACUGAUUCUUACAACAAUGAGUGAGAGGCAAAUCCAAUAUCAAAAUCUAGUACUUCAAAAACUUCUGAUCAAGUCAAAAUUAUUGAUAUUUCACUAAUUUCUUUGAGAAAACCUCAUGUGGCAACGUGAUUCUCAUUCAGAAAUUUUAACUGCCUCAAAAACAAAAAUUACAAGAUAAAUUGGAAAAAUAGAAAAAGC